rnacentral:misc_RNA from 1 species
GUAUUUAUUUUUGGUCUACUUUUAACGAGGUAGGUCCAAGAGAUUUGAGAUGUCUCGUCCAUUACAGGCGAGUAUCUUUAAUAUUAUAGCCUCUUUUGUGGUAAAACAACUCUGCAGAACAGUAUUUGAAUGGAACUUUUUGUUUCUUUAAUGCCUAAUAUGCAGACUUACCUAUUGAAAAGGGGGUCCAUAAACUUAAAGUGGUAUCCCCACUUGAA